GUAGGUGGCAAGCGUUGUCCGGAAUUAUUGGGCGUAAAGCGCGCGCAGGCGGUUCUUUAAGUCUGAUGUGAAAGCCCACGGCUCAACCGUGGAGGGUCAUUGGAAACUAGAGAACUUGAGUACAGAAGAGGAAAGCGGAAUUCCACGUGUAGCGGUGAAAUGCGUAGAGAUGUGGAGGAACACCAGUGGCGAAGGCGGCUUUCUGGUCUGUAACUGACGCUGAGGCGCGAAAGCGUGGGGAGCAAACAGGGAUUAGAUACCCUGGUAGUCCACGCCGUAAACGAUGAGUGCUAAGUGUUAGGGGGUUUCCGCCCCCUUAGUGCUGCAGCUAACGCAUUAAGCACUCCGCCUGGGGAGUACGGCCGCAAGGCUG
rnacentral:rRNA from 1 species